CAAUACAGACUUUAACUGAAUUUUGCAUGCUUCAAACCACGUAGUUCCUAUGAGGUGUCGUCUAAAGGCAGAAGUGUUUAUAGCUGUUUGAUACGGCCACACUUGAAGGCAAGAUGAAAAACUUAGAAAGGGAUAAGAUGCAGUGAAUGAUACAAAUAGGGAAAAUGAUAAGGACCUCCGUCUUAUCUGCAGUGACUCACAUCAUUCCCAUCUUAUCCUCUUUACAUUGGCUUCAAGUAUCAAGUUCAGGAUUCAUUUAAUGUUUCUUGUUCUGACAUAUAGAGCCU